rnacentral:rRNA from 1 species
AUUGAACGCUGGCGGCAGGCCUAACACAUGCAAGUCGAGCGGAUGAAGGGAGCUUGCUCCUGGAUUCAGCGGCGGACGGGUGAGUAAUGCCUAGGAAACUGCCUGGUAGUGGGGGAUAACGUCCGGAAACGGGCGCUAAUACCGCAUACGUACUGAGGGAGAGAGUGGGGGAUCUUAGGACCUCACGCUAUCAGAUGAGCCUAGGUCGGAUUAGCUAGUUGGUGGGGUAAAGGCCUACCAAGGCGACGAUCCGUAACUGGUCUGAGAGGAUGGACAGUCACACUGGAACUGAGACACGGUCCAGACUCCUACGGGAGGCAGCAGUGGGGAAUAUUGGACAAUGGGCGAAAGCCUGAUCCAGCCAUGCCGCGUGUGUGAAGAAGGUCUUCGGAUUGUAAAGCACUUUAAGUUGGGAGGAAGGGCAGUAAGUUAAUACCUUGCUGUUUUGACGUUACCAACAGAAUAAGCACCGGCUAACUUCGUG